UUUCCGUAGGUGAACCUGCGGAAGGAUCAUUAAAGUGAUUAUGCUCUUCGGGGUAGAUCUCCCACCCUUUGUUUAUAAUAACUUCGUUGCAUUGUCAUGUCCGUCUUCGGCCUAUCGGUGUCGGCUGGUCUGUGCUUGGCAGAGGACAAAAAAAUAUUAUUAUUAUUGUCGACUGGGUAUUUUAGUUUAGUUAAAACUUUAAAAAAUGGAACACUUGGUUCUGGCAUUGCUGAAGAACGCAGCAGAUCGGAAGAGCACAAGACUACACUUCAGUACCCC
rnacentral:misc_RNA from 1 species